UGCUUUGAGGGCUUGGAGGAGAACAGAUUCCCAAACCUGGCCCAUGAUCAAUGUAUUUGGGUAUUUGAACUAAAUCCAGAUUCCCUGGCUUCCCCUGAGGCCUGCUGAAUCCCUUGGGGUGGGGCCUGGGAAUCCGCGUUUUCCAGCGGGCUUCUCAGGUAGUUGGAUGGUCCCUGAGUGGGUUCCCACGACCCCAUGAAACAAGACCCUAGAAAACGCAAGGCAAAGCGGCCUGGCGAGUGGCCAAUAGUCCACAGGAACUGAAUGUGAUCAGAGCGAGACCUGGCAUCAACUAGGCAGGGGAGGCGCAGAGCCAUUCUGAGGAAGAGACCCAGCCGGAACCCAGGGAGGAGCGGACUGUGAAAACUGGGCAGAAGCGUGCGGCGACUCCGAAGACACUGCCAGGAAACCCUCCCCGGUCCUCCUGGUGGGCCCUGUAGCAGCCGCAGGGGUCGGUUCUCACCCUCUGGUCCCAGCCAGGUUGUCUUGGAGUCAGCUAAUGGGCAAGGCCCUUAGCUCUCUUAGGAUCUGAGGAUGGGAGGGGCUGCGUUUUACCAGCGGAUCUGCACGUGUGCAGGCUGGGUGUUGAGACUUGAUUGGUGUCAGCUGGACUGCCUGCCCGUGAUGCACAGAAGCUGCUGUAAGAAACAGGGUCCAUGUCUCCAGGGAGCAGGCCCCCGUUCUGAGGCCACAACCCCGAGGGCAGUUUCCGCCUGCAGAGUCCUCCCUCUCGCACCGGCUCACCUCGUGGUGAAUCCCUUGGCUACGGUUUGGUGUGAGAAAAGAGAUGGGUGUUUCACUCCCUGCUGCAUCCCUGGUGACGGCCCUGGCAUUUCAGGGCAUGAGAUCUUUGCUUAAAGGUUUUGCUGUGGUCACUGCACAGGGGGUGGGGUCCCUUGGUGCAAUUUAUCAGAUUCUGCGGAGUGGAUGACAUCAGCAGGGUUCCUCUCCAGUGGGGAUUAUCUGAGACCUUUCCACAUGCCCGCACCCACAGUCCGCUCCCUCAUGGCAGCAUGAACUCAGGAGGCGGGUGUUCCCACAGUCAUUACAUUUGCAGGGCCUCUCUAUGUGCACUCUGAUGCCUGAGGACCAGCGCUUCCACGGUGUGGCCACGUCCAGUGCUGCUCAUUGGCUUCUCUCCUGCGGGAAUGUUCUGAUCCCGAAUGGAGCCUGAGCAUGUGCGAAGCCCUUCCUACGUUCACAAGGUGCUUCUCCAGUGUUCCAUUACAUCUCACCUAUGCACACGACGUGCAUACAGUUUCCACCGGCUGUGCGUGUCCCCAGAAGUCACAUUCACGGCGUUUCUCUCUGGGAGGAAUUCUCCCGUGCAUGGCUGCUCUGAGCUCUGAGACCGUUUGCACCUGCGGCCACGCGUGGGCUCCUUGGGGCUUACAAACCAGGCUGGACUCCUGAAGCCCUAGCUGCACUUGGCACGCGGCGAGGUUUUUCUACAAAAUCUCAUCUCAGCCAUCUGAGUCCUUCACCAUUUAUCUUAUGAAUCCGCUCAAACGUACAAGGAAGGCCUCUCUGCCCUCCUGCUCCAGGGAGGAGGUUUUGACCCUCAGCUCCACUUCUGCGGCUGGCCCGGUCUCCGCAAACCUUUUUCUGCUUGGCCAGCUGGUGCCGUGCUAGGCUUUCCCACUAGGGGCGGCAGAGAAAGCAAGCGCGCGAGGCUGCGGAGGAGAGAGGGGCAAACACUCUUUUCGGUUUGCUUCCGGUUUUUUCCUCAGGCUUCCGGUCUGUUUGGUGCCCUGGUCGCUUGUCUUCCGCACUCUGCUGCUUCGCCCCGGCAAGAGCACUUCCUUCCGCGGCUGCUAAAACCGGUGCGCGGGUUCCCAACUUCGCAGAAGCAGCUUCAUCGGCCCCCCGGUAGAGACCUCAGAUCGCAGCCAUCGACGCCCCGCCGGGGGGUCUGUCCCCACCCUCGGGGCCAGCUCACCACGAGUCAGGCCCUGUGCUGUGUGCUGGGAUGAAGCAGUGACUUACACAGGCCUGGACCUGUCCUUGUGAAGAGUGCGUCUGUGACACAGAUACUGUGCCAUGUGGCAAAGUAAGCACAUGGGACAGCAGAGCCUUGUUUGCCAUUAAAGUAAUAUCACAAGUCUGUUAAGGUUGGAAAAUCAAGUGAACAUGCUGAAAAGUUAUGGGGAACGUAGUCUCAUAGCUGGGGGAGCUGGGGGCCUUGUCAAUUGGUUCCCCCAGUCUGGAGAGCAAUCUGAGAGUAAGCAGUGGCAUGUGUGUGCUGAGUGUGUCUGUGGGGGUGUUUUUGGAUAAAAUUAACAUUUGAAUUUGUGAACUGAAUGAAGCAGAGUGCCCUUCAUAAUGUGGGUGGGCCUCAUUCAAUUAGUUCAAGGCCCGCAUAGGAACUACCUCCUGCCUGCCUGAACCGGGACUUACGUCUUUUCUUGCCUUCAGACUGGGAGACAUCAGCUCUUUGUGGGUCUCAAGUCUGCUGGCUUUCAACCAGCUCUUCUGCUUGAAAGCUGCAGGUCUUGGGACUGCCCAGCCCCCAUAACCCUGUGAGUGCAUUCCUGAUAAUAACCCUCUUCCUCUUGCCCUCCCCCACCCCACACCAUUGGUUCUGUUUCUCUGGAGAACCCUAACACAUCAUUUACUAAUCAGGAAACAGAUUCAGAGACAUUAAUAACUUAUCCAACCUCACAGUUAACUGUAGAGUUGGGCUUGAAAUUCCAAGGUUGAUUUUCUUAGCCAAUACACCAUGCUACAUAUAUGUAUGUAAAAAACCCUUGUGAAC